rfam:Schistosoma rodhaini strain Burundi genome assembly, scaffold: SROB_scaffold0000759
AUCCAACUGACGAGUCCCAAAUAGGUCGAAACGUACGUACUGGAU